ACGGGUGAGUAACACGUGGGUAACCUGCCUUAUGGAGGGGGAUAACAGAGAGAAAUCACUGCUAAUACCGCAUAAGCACACAGUACCGCAUGGUACAGAGUGAAAAGAUUUAUCGCCAUAAGAUGGACCCGCGUCUGAUUAGCCAGUUGGCAGGGUAAAAGCCUACCAAAGCAACGAUCAGUAGCCGAUCUGAGAGGAUGACCGGCCACAUUGGGACUGAGACACGGCCCAAACUCCUACGGGAGGCAGCAGUGGGGAAUAUUGCACAAUGGGCGCAAGCCUGAUGCAGCGACGCCGCGUGAGGGAUGGAGGCCUUCGGGUUGUAAACCUCUUUCGCCAGUGAAGCAGGCCUGCUCCUUGUGGGUGGGUUGACGGUAGCUGGAUAAGAAGCCCCGGCUAACUACGUGCCAGCAGCCGCGGUAAUACGUAGGGGGCAAGCGUUAUCCGGAUUUACUGGGUGUAAAGGGAGCGCAGACGGCUUGGCAAGUCUGAAGUGAAAGCCCGGGGCUUAACCCCGGGACUGCUUUGGAAACUGUGAAGCUAGAGUGUCGGAGAGGUAAGUGGAAUUCCCAGUGUAGCGGUGAAAUGCGUAGAUAUUGGGAGGAACACCGGUGGCGAAAGGCGGCUUACUGGACGAUAACUGACGUUGAGGCUCGAAGGCGUGGGGAGCAAACAGGAUUAGAUACCCUGGUAGUCCACGCGGUAAAC
rnacentral:rRNA from 1 species